rnacentral:rRNA from 1 species
UACGUAGGGUGCAAGCGUUAUCCGGAAUUAUUGGGCGUAAAGAGCUCGUAGGCGGUUUGUCGCGUCUGCUGUGAAAACUGGAGGCUCAACCUCCGGCCUGCAGUGGGUACGGGCAAACUAGAGUGCGGUAGGGGAGAUUGGAAUUCCUGGUGUAGCGGUGGAAUGCGCAGAUAUCAGGAGGAACACCGAUGGCGAAGGCAGAUCUCUGGGCCGUAACUGACGCUGAGGAGCGAAAGCAUGGGGAGCGAACAGG